CCUACGGGAGGCUGCAGUGGGGAAUAUUGCACAAUGGGGGAAACCCUGAUGCAGCGACGCCGCGUGAAGGAAGAAGGAUUUCGGUAUGUAAACUUCUAUCAGCAGGGAAGAAAAUGACGGUACCUGACGAAGAAGCCCCGGCUAACUACGUGCCAACAACCGCUGGAAUACGUAGGGGGCAAGCGUUAUUCGGAUUUACUGGGUUGAAAGGGAGCGUAGGCGGUGCAGCAAGUCAGAAGUGAAAGCCGGGGGGUCAACGCCGGGACUGCUUUUGACACUGGUGAACUGGAUUGCAGGAGAGGUAAGUGGAAUUCCUGGUGUAGCGGUGAAAUGCGUAGAUAUUAGGAGGAACACCAGUGGCGAAGGCGGCUUACUGGACUGUAAAUGACGCUGAGGCUCGAAAGCGUGGGGAGCAAACAGGAUUAGAUACCCUAGUAGUC
rnacentral:rRNA from 1 species